rnacentral:rRNA from 1 species
CGCUGGCGGCAGGCCUAACACAUGCAAGUCGAGCGGAUGAAGGGAGCUUGCUCCCUGAUUUAGCGGCGGACGGGUGAGUAAUGCCUAGGAAUCUGCCUGGUAGUGGGGGAUAACGUUCCGAAAGGAACGCUAAUACCGCAUACGUCCUACGGGAGAAAGCAGGGGACCUUCGGGCCUUGCGCUAUCAGAUGAGCCUAGGUCGGAUUAGCUAGUUGGUGAGGUAAUGGCUCACCAAGGCGACGAUCCGUAACUGGUCUGAGAGGAUGAUCAGUCACACUGGAACUGAGACACGGUCCAGACUCCUACGGGAGGCAGCAGUGGGGAAUAUUGGACAAUGGGCGAAAGCCUGAUCCAGCCAUGCCGCGUGUGUGAAGAAGGUCUUCGGAUUGUAAAGCACUUUAAGUUGGGAGGAAGGGCAGUAAGCUAAUACCUUGCUGUUUUGACGUUACCGACAGAAUAAGCACCGGCUAACUUCGUGCCAGCAGCCGCGGUAAUACGAAGGGUGCAAGCGUUAAUCGGAAUUACUGGGCGUAAAGCGCGCGUAGGUGGUUCGUUAAGUUGGAUGUGAAAGCCCCGGGCUCAACCUGGGAACUGCAUCCAAAACUGGCGAGCUAGAGUACGGUAGAGGGUGGUGGAAUUUCCUGUGUAGCGGUGAAAUGCGUAGAUAUAGGAAGGAACACCAGUGGCGAAGGCGACCACCUGGACUGAUACUGACACUGAGGUGCGAAAGCGUGGGGAGCAAACAGGAUUAGAUACCCUGGUAGUCC